rnacentral:rRNA from 1 species
AUUUGUCUGGUUAAUUCCGAUAACGAACGAGACCUUAACCUGCUAACUAGAUUCAUUAGUAUUACUGUUGAUAUCUUCUUAGAGGGACUAUGUAAAACAAAUACAUGGAAGUUUGAGGCAAUAACAGGUCAGUGAUGCCCUUAUAUGUCCUGGGCUGCACGCGUGCUACACUGAUGCAUACAACAAGUGCCUAACCAGACAUGGUACGGCAAUCUCGAAUAUGCAUCGUGAUGGGGAUAGAUCUUUGCAAUUAUAGAUCUUGAACGAGGAAUUCCUAGUAAGUGCAAGUCAUCAUCUUGCAUUGAUUAUGUCCCUGCCCUUUGUACACACCGCCCGUCGCUCCUACCGAUACCGGGUGAUCCGGUGAACCUUUUGGACUCAUUGAGAAAGAUAAGUAAACCAUAUCACCUAGAGGAAGGAGAAGUCGUAACAAGGUUUCCGUAGGUGAACCUGCRGAAGGAUCA